rnacentral:rRNA from 1 species
UAGCAGAUUAACUUUUUUUUAAAAUUUCUCGAAAUUUGGGGAGUAACCUUUACUUUACGUAGAUGUAGCAGAAUCUUGUUUUAAGUUUAAGGUGGAAAUUAUAUGUUUUUCGUACCAAAUGAUAGCUAGUUUCAAUAGAAAUAUAUAGAAGUAUAGGCUUUAUAGUAAUUGUUUUUUAAGGUGGAAAUACAAUUUUAUAAAUGCUCGUUUAUAUAAGGCUAAGCUUGUAUAAUUAAUUAUAGAAUUUCGUUAAUGAGCAUAAAAUUUAAGCUUCCCAUUGGCUAUAAUUUAGAGUUUAUUAUAAAAUAUGUAUAUAGAUACAUAUAUUAUUUUGUUUUAUUUAUAUUGAUUUACUGCUAAAUAAUAAAGUAAUAAGGUGUAUGCUAAGAUGAGUAUUGAUAUAAAUAUAAGUAGGAUAAAAGUAAAUAAACCUAAUUUUAUUUAAAAAUAAGUAUUUAAGUACUCGAAAGGAACUCGGCAAAAACAAGCUCCGCCUGUUUAGCAAAAACAUGGCUCUUUG